rnacentral:rRNA from 1 species
UACAGAGGUCUCAAGCGUUGUUCGGAUUCAUUGGGCGUAAAGGGCGCGUAGGCGGCCUGUUAAGUCGAACGUGAAAUCCCCGGGCUCAACCCGGGAACUGCGUCCGAUACUGGCAGGCUUGAAUCCGGGAGAGGGAUGCGGAAUUCCUGGUGUAGCGGUGAAAUGCGUAGAGAUCGGGAGGAACACCAGUGGCGAAGGCGGCUACCUGGACCAGCACUGACACUGAGGCACGAAAGCGUGGGGAGCAAACAGGG